AAGGCUCAGGUGUUCUUAGCCCUCCAGAGUCUUGGGGCAAAUGGUGCAUCUUACUAUCUCUGCGAGGAGAAAGAAGAUGACGUCUACUUUGGGGACAGAUUGCAUCCUUGUCAUGACCUCAUUUUGUUGUCACUGCUCUGGGGUGGAGAAUCUGCAGCACGUCUUUUACUCAGUCAAUGUGGAUGUUGACAAGGACCAGGAGGAGUGUCCGAGACUGUGCACUCAGUCCCCAAAGGAGUGCCAGCACCCCAGGAGACUCUAGUGGAACAGAGGUGGCCCUCUCCCCAGAGCUGAGCAUCCCAGGAGCAGACACCUAGGAGACAAUGAACUCUAAAAGGAAAAUGCUGUUAUCAAUUCUGUGUCUUUCAUCCCUCGUGUUGCUUGAGCGUUAUUUCAGCAAGCAUUGCUCAAGCCCUGUCUGGACCCUGGGCUCUGUUCCAGGUGCUGAGAGAACAGCGGUAACAGGACAUGCCUGUCCCCGUGGAGCGUCCUGUCCUGUCCUAGAUGGAGAAGGCAGAGCAAACCAACAGAACAGAGGGUCAGGGAUAACA